AGACGCCGGCGUGGGGCCUGGGCUCGUGGCCCGAGCUCAAAUCGACGCCUCGUCGCCCGUUGUACGGCGCAGCGGCGACUCGGCGACGGGGCGGGCGAUCCGGUGCUCCCCAGGUUAAUUUUGGCGGCCAAGGUGCCGAAGAUGGCGCGAAAUCCCCACGGGCGCACGCUCUUCACCCCCCCCCCCCCCCCCCCUCCUUCCCUCCCCUUCACAAUCCAUUGCAGGAGCUUGGUCCUUCCCGGCGGCGCAAUGGGGUCGGAGAACCAGCAAUCCGCAGCAGCGGCACGUGAUCUCCUAAUUGCGUCGACGACGCGCCAGUGGUAGGAGAUAGCGGUGCGGGCACGGGCUCAAAAGCUCGAGACGUCGUCGAUGGCGACGACGGCGCACAGGAGGGAAGCUGCGACGGCGGCGCAGGAGCUGGGUCGUCCGCCCGUAGAGCAAAACUUCACCGGCCGCAGUCUCGCCGGUAACACCCAACCCCCCCCCCCCCCCCCCCCCCCCCCCCAAGAUCGACCGGCGGCGGUAUGUUCCCGGCCACCCCAAGGUCCAAUGGCGGCAUGAGCUUCUCUGGCAGCCCCAACCUGAUGUCUUCGACCAUGGCCUAGCAUCAAUCACAGUCUCAACCAUGGAUUCAUGCCGAUCCCACAGAAUGGUGAAAUUGGAUGCUCGCCCUAAAAUUAUUUCUGUUUUCUGGUCUGGUGAUGUUGCACCCUAAUUCUUGGACCAGAAUGAUCAUGCUGUUUUUUAGUUUCCCUUCCCAUGCUACAAACUGAAUGGGUUUCUGAAACUGAACAUGUCAUGCAUGUGUGUGUAUAUAUGCCGAUCCGACAGAAUGGUAAGGCUUCUUAGCACUUUGUUGUGAGAAUUUUUGUUCCAGCUUCCAAAUUGUAGUGUGAAUUCUGUUAGGGACUUUUAGUUUGGCAAUGGCGAACACAAGAAGAUUACAUCAUUGGAAUAUGCUACUGACUACUAAUUAGAAAACAUAACAAAUUUUAUUUUCUUGUCAGUGAAAACUAAGUCAAGGUUAAGGCCAUUUUUUGAAUGUUGAGCACUGCCACUUUGCAUUCAGUCUCACCAUUUUCUGCUAGGUGUGCUCAGAAUUUAUCAGCCACACAUGGUGUCAAUUUCUGUUUAGUUUGGCAAGCAGUACUGAAUGCACUAAAUGCUACAUGGUUCAUAUAGAGAUGCACUGAAAUGUUUUUUUCUAUAACAUUCUAAAACUGAAGCCUGUAUGGAUGUGCUGGAAUUUUAUAUUUAGUUUGGCAAGCAGUGUUUCUGCAACUGAAUGCCUGAAUGCUGCAUGGUUCAUAUAGAGAUGCACUGAAAUGUUUUUUUUUUCUAUAACAUUCUGAAACUGAAGCCUGUAUGGAUGUGCUACAAUUUUCUGCAGUCAAUAUUUCCUGAUAUGUACUAAGGUGAGUUCCAGUUUCAGUUUUUAGUCAAUUGAGUGAAGUCUGGCAGUAGCACUUAAUUAGUGAAAUUGCAUUUAAGUAGAUGAUAAUAGAUGGAGUCAGUACCACUUAAUUUUCUGAAAUGUUUGUUUUCUAUGAAAAAUUAUCCUGUAGUUAAAUGUUACAGACAUUUUUUCUUUCCUGAGCUGUUACAGGCAUUUUUACUCCUGAACUGACAGUGAGCUGUUACAGAUAUUUUUUUUCUCCUACACACCUUUUACUGGAACUCAACCUACACACCUUGAUAAUUUUUCUUUGCUUCUACAUUAUUAUGCAUAAGCAGAAUCCAAGGGGUAUUGGAGAUGUGUAAAGUUUUUUUGUUUCCCUGAAAGCACCAUUUUUCACUUAAUGGUAGAUCUACAUUUUUUUCUCCUGAACUGGUCUGCAUUUUUGCCCCUGAACUGACAGCAAUUCAAUGUGCCUUACAGGUACAAGAAGGAAGGCAAAAUUGGAGCAAAAUGUUACACUGGCUGAAGAGAUAGGAGGCUCUGUUGUUAGUUUCUUAGUGCUCAAAAACAAGAUAGGAGGAUCUGCAUAAGAGGCUGGUGCAUGAGCAGGCUCUAUAGUUAGUUUAUGAAAUUUCAGAGGAGGCUCUGUACUUAGUUUUUGAAAUGUCAGACUUGUUUCUAGUUUAUUAAUUGGUUACAAUGGUCAAACUUCUGGUGCUAUUUGAAGUUCCUGAAUUUUUUCUGAAA